AGUCCGAUUUGUUCCGGUUGCACUGGACACAGAGACCAGACUGUCAGAGGGCCAGCAGCGAGUCCUCCGAGGAGGGUGGAGCAAGGAUUCUUCUCCCUAUUUCACUGAUGGGAAGACUGAGGAACCAAGCGAUUCAUCCCAGCAGCAGAGCAGGCUGGUAGAGCCCCUGUGCCCCAUCACAUUGGAGGGUCUCAACUGAGUCCCACCAGAGGGAUGGACUCCAGAAAGAUGCAUUUCCCACAACAGAUCUGACUUCCCGCCCCCGGAAACGCUCCCACAGGAG